CAAUAAGGCAACCCUCGCCUUUCUACGAUGGUCACAGUAACGAAAUAUUAAAGCUAGAACAAUUUGGAAGUAAAUGAAGUAUAACUGAGAUAGCAUGACAAUUUCAAAUAAGAUAUAGGCUUAUGUCACGUUAGCACAGCUAGUACAUUUUUUAGGGCUAAAAGCCCAGAGCGGACUCUCGAGAGGAUCUAAGGCUGUCGAAACGGCGUUUUUAUAUACGAUGACAGUAUAGGAAUAAAUUACCAAUAGUUUCAUAUUCAUUACAAAAAUGCUGCCAAGUGGUGGUCUUGUUUUUCUUCUUCAUCCUUCUGUCGACCCCAGUGCAGAGUAACACAUUGUAGCUCAAGAUCUUUUCACACCUCUGAUAAGUUUUUCUGUAUAUGUGUGCUAGCUAGACUGCGAUCUCAUGCGCGCACACGAGGGGAAUGCGAGCUGCAAUGUAACAAAACAUUUCAUUGAUAAUAGCGCAGCGUUUACAUCGAUCGAGAAGAAAGAAAAAGCGUGCUUGCGAGUAUGAGGUAAGGCCGUAGUGCUUCUAUGUGCGUAAGACAGAUUGUGUGGGAAAAUGUCUUGUCUUCCCUUAUGUCCGUCUGGAUACAAUAGGGUUUUCGCACCCCGGCCGCGUCCAGCUGACAUGGACUACAGACUUCGAAGCUCGGCAUGUACGGCCGCUUGCUGUAUAAUUGCAGCUAUCGUGUUCUUCACGGUUGUUGCUGGAGCUCUCAGCCUCAGUGCAGCAGGAAAUUUCAGCGUGGAAGCACGUGGUGUCAAGCCCACAGUAAUGAGCGUUUUCGAAGCAGACCGGAUUUUAGGUUUCAACGAUAGCGCGCUUUUUCGAAAAUAAAGUCACUAAAAUG
rnacentral:lncRNA from 1 species